GAAGGUGGCAAGCGUUAUUCGGAUUUACUGGGCGUACAGGGAGCGUAGGCGGUUUGGUAAGCCCUCUGUGAAAUCUUCAGGCUUAACCUGGAGAAGUCGGAGGGGACUGCUGGGCUAGAGGACGGGAGAGGAGCGCGGAAUUCCCGGUGUAGCGGUGAAAUGCGUAGAGAUCGGGAGGAAGCCCGGUGGCGAAGGCGGCGCUCUGGAACGUUUCUGACGCUGAGGCUAGAAAGCGUGGGGAGCAAACAGGAUUAGAUACCCUGGUAGUCCACGCCUUAAACUAUGAAUACUAAGUGUCGGCGGUUUACCGCCGGUGCCGCAGCUAACGCAUUAAGUAUUCCGCCUGGGAAGUACGGCCGCAAGAAA
rnacentral:rRNA from 1 species